CUACUAGGGUAUCUAAUCCUGUUCGCUCCCCACGCUUUCGCGUCUCAGCGUCAGUACCGUACUAGAGAACCGCCUUAGCCACGGGUGUUCUUCCUGAUAUCUGCGCAUUUCACCGCUACACCAGGAAUUCCAUUCUCCUCUUCCGGACUCUAGCCGCACGGUUUCCAUCGACGUCUGAAGGUUAAGCCUCCAGUUUUCACAACGGACCUGUGCGGCCGCCUACACGCUCUUUACGCCCAAUAAAUCCGGACAACGCUUGCCCCCUACGUAUUACCGCGGCUGCUGGCAC
rnacentral:rRNA from 1 species